rnacentral:lncRNA from 1 species
AUUCUAGUAAGCUUCAAAACACUGGACCUGGGCAGAUAUCAACCCUCUAAGAGUUGGGGAAGAGCUACAAGGUCACUGAGGUAAUGCAAAAGUUCCUGCCCUCAGCAAUGACGGGGAAUGGAGAAUGGCUAGAAGAUGGAGUGUCUUGAAAGGUUUAUGCCCUUAGAGGACAAUACAAGAUUCCUAUUAAUGAAACACUGAUGAUGAUGAUGAUGACGAUGACAAUGACGAUAAUGGUGAGGACAAUGACAAUGACAGUGAUGAUUAUGGGAAGAUGAUGACGACGACAAAACAAUACCACCACAUGAGUAAUUACAGAUUUUAGAAGUUCACAUUUAUUGUAUAAUUUUACCCUUACAACAAUUCAAUGAGGUAGAUAUUAUUUCCACUUUACAUGAAGAGACUGAGAAUUUGAGAGCAAACAUGUGCUAUUGAAAUGCACAUUCACUACAGUAAAUGUUAUCCCAAAGCAUACAUCCUGACUCCAAAGUAAUUUUGUAUACAAUAUAAAGCUUACAAUGGGAAUGACUGUCUACCUUUGUUUCCUAAAUUCUGAAAUCCACACAACAUUUACUCUAGUGAGUACCAAGAAGAUUUUACAAUCUUUUUCCUUUUAUUUUGGUGCUUAGAAUUAGGAAAAUAGGGCUUGAUUGUCCUCGGGAUCUUCUUAGACAUCAUUUAAUGCAAUUUGCCUAAAACCAAGUGACUACAUUAGGGGACUGAUCAUAGGAAAAUAAUAAACACUAAGACUAUUA